UGGGGAGUGGCCAAGCGGUAAGGCAGUGGACUUUGGAUCCACUAUUCGGGGGUUCGAAUCCUCCCUCCCCAGCCA
rnacentral:tRNA from 1 species